rnacentral:lncRNA from 1 species
AUUCUCCUUAGAAGGAAUCUUUUAGGUAACUCCCAUAGACAUCAGUAAAACCUCAUCUAAACCCUAAACAGAAAACGCAAUAGAAAAUACAAUUUCAUAUGUAAAGGUGAUAUGUCACUGCUAUCAAUCAGUAACUUCUCCAUAGUUCUUAUACCUGCAUGAUAUCUAUCACUGAAAUUUACUGUUUGUGCUUCCAUCAGGAUUUGGUUAGAUAAGUCUCAUAUUUCAAUAUGCCCUGAAAUAAAAAUGUUAUCAGCUUUGAUUUUUGUUAUUAGAACAUUAUAAGCUAGCUGUGUGUUGCAAUAACCAGCUACAUAUUCCAGAAGUCCAUUUGACCCUUCUGUUACUGGGACUGAUAUUCUUUUUUGUUUGUUUGUUUGUUUUGUUUGUUUUGUUUUUGAGACAGAGUUUUACUCUUGUUGCCCAGGCUGGAGCGCAAUGGUGCGAUCUCGGCUCACCGCAAUCUCUGCCUCCUGAGUUCAAGCGAGGAGCAACCCUACCUGAUGGACUGGACUUCUGCCUGGAUUGGAGUUUGAUCAUGCCUCCAUAUGGGUGUUUACCAGGCGUAUGCAUUGAACCUGAGUUUGUCUCUUCAAUACAAGGAAAAUCUCUGCCGCUUAGUGAUUUUCCAAGAAACAUGAGCUUCUGCCUUUCAAUGAGGAAGAUACUCAGAAGUCAUGUUCGAGCACUCCGGAAAAUGUCCUUGGAGUUUCAACAUUUCUUUGGUCUUCCACAUUUCAUUUUGUCCUGAUUAAAGAGGAAGCCAGUUGCUGUUUGUGCAAGAUGCCGUGCUGGAACCUGCCCUGUGGAGAGGCAUACAUGGUGAAAAACCAGGGAAGGCCUCUGAGCAACAGCUCUUGAGAAACUAAAGCCCUAAACCCAUCAACUUGCAAAGAACUGCAUCCUGCCACCAACUGCGUGAGUGAGGUCAGGUGGAUCUUUCCCUGGUCCAGCCUUGAGAUGACUGCAGUCCCAGACAACACCUUGACUGCUGCCUUGUGAUGCAGCUGGCGCCAAGCAGUGCCAAUUCCUGGCCCUCAAAAACCAUGAGAUAAUAGUGCUGUUGUUGUAAGUCACCCAAGUUUGGGGUAAUUUGUUAUCUAGCAGUAGAUAGCCAAUACAUCAAACUAGAAACAUUCUCCAUCAUUGAUUGGAAGACUUUGGGUUUUUAAAAAGGGUAAACACACAUAUACACAGCUUAUUAUAUUUCCUUCCACAUUUAUUUUGGAGGGGAAAUGUUUUACUUCUUAUCCCACCGCUUUGCCCUUUCUAAAAGAAUGUGUUAGGAUUACUGUGAUUCAAAUGGUAAAAAUUUUCCCAGUGAAAUAAAGACUUUAUACCAACUGGAUUUCUUGCUUAGAAAGCUGUGUUUUCUCCACUAAUAUCUUGAAUUUGAUAUUUUCAACUAUCUCUAUUGAAUUCACUUGUAAAUGAAUUGCGUUUUUCCCUCUAUUAUGAACUGAAUGUUUGUAUCUCUUCAAAAUUCAUAUGUUGAGGCUGUAAUUCCCAG